CAGAGCAAGUUUUAGGACAACCAGGGCUACACAGAGGGGCCCUGUCUAAAUUGUCCCCCCCCAAAAAAGAAAGAAAAUGAAAUUUAGGGUAAGUUUCCAGGGCGACAGUUUAUUGGGGGAAGUGUGAGUACUGAUGGAUGCUGUGUAAACUUACAAAACAGGCCUUCAAGUUGGCUAAGGUGUUAGAUGGGAUAUUGUGUUUAGAUUCCGCUGGUUAGGUUGUUUUGAAAGAUUUGGUGAAGAGUUCUGCUAAACUGUCUUUUAAAAUAUAGGGCUAAUUCCACCACAUGUACUGGACAAGGUUGGACAAACCCCCUUACUUCUGGGAUAACAGAACCUAAUGCCCAGAGGACAAUUAGAUGCUUGUGGUAGUAUGAAUGUAAUUGGCUCCCAUAAGCUCACAGGGUUAAGCCCUGUCAAUUAGGAGGUGAGGUUUUGUUGGAGUAGGUAUAGCCUUGUUGGAGAAAGUGUGAUGCUCUGGGGGUGGGCUUUGAGGUCUCCUGUGCUCAAGCUAUGUUUCAUUGUAGAUAGACUCCUUCCUGUUGCCUGCAGAUCAAGAUGCAGGAUUCUCAGCUCCUUCUCCAGCACCAUGUCUGCCUGCACACUGCCCUGAUGAUAAUGGACUGAACUUCUGAACUGUCCUAGGGAUAUGAGAGGGAAAGAUGUCAUCUGUGUCUUCAGGAAGCAGGCAGUUACAGAAUGCAAUGCCUCCCUACAGGAAAUCUGCUCUGAUUCAUGUGGGAACUGGGAGAAUCUGUGUUGAGAGCUGGUGGGACUCACAGCCAAUCUGUGUUGAGAGCUGGUGGGACUCACAGCCAAUCUGUGUUGAGAGCUGGUGGGACUCAAAGAUGAACACACAGCCAAUCUGAUCCCUGAAAUGUCUUAGAGCAAAAAAGCAUCAUUCCUUCCUCUCUGUCUUUCUUUUUCAAGAUUACUGGCAGGCACUGGAGAGAUGGUUCAACAGUUAAGAGCACUGGCUGCUCUUCCAGAGGACCCGGGUUCAAUUCCCAGAACCCACUUGGCAGCUCACAACUGUCUGCAAUUCCUAUUCCAGCGGAUCCAAUGCCAUCAUGCAGACAUA